UUCCCUGAUUAUAUUAUGAAAUCCUAAUCCUGUCCUCUUCUGCUGCACAGAAUUAGAAUAAACAUGGUGUUGCAACACCAGAUCCCGUUUUGGGAGCUGAAGUCCACAGUACAGCUGUCCCUCGCAAUGAGCUGUGCCCUGAAGAACUGCAUUUCCCAUCAGCCAACACUAAUCUUACAUGGGGACAACAUCUUUCAGGAGAUGUUGUGAAAGUCUUGCACCUGACAGUAUUGUCUGUCAAUGUCUGCAGACUAAUGCACAGCUACAUCCUCGAUCAGGAAGGAGAAAGACAUACGGGUUUCUGAAUAGAAUCAGCACAGCUUCUUCUUACCAUGGAUAAACAGGCCACUGUGGUGUUUCGAAAUGUGGGGCAAAUGUACUUCCCCCAAACCAGGGUAGAGUGUCACUACAGUCUGACCUGUGACCAUCAGUGGAGUAGCUGUGACUGGAUCGGGAUCUUUGAGGAGGGCUGGUCUUCAGUGAGACAGUAUCACACAUACACAUGGGCUCUUGCUCCUGAUGGCUAUACUGAGGGAACCAAUGCCAACUGCUGCGUCCUUUUCCAGGCAUCUUACCUGCCGCGCCCCAGUGCUGCACAGUACCAGUUUGUGUACGUGGAUAAGAUGGGUGAGGUUUGUGGUGAGAGUCGGCUCUUCAGCUUCUGUGCCCCCAAACCAUUGGAGGAACUAGAGACUCUCAAAGAGGAACGAGACGAGGAGGACGGAGAGGAGGACCUGCUCCUGGUCAUUCCCAGAGCUCAGCUCCUACAGAGUCAGCUGGAGGAAUGCUUGAAACAACAAGCGGAUUUACAACAUGGUCUGGAUGUGGCCAAAAAAGAGAUGGAGACUGAGAAUGAGAGGAGCAAAAAGGAAAGGAUGGAAUGGGAGUCUGAAAGAGAAGCGAUGAAAGAUGAGAUUUCAGAGCUGAGACAAACAGUGAGACAAAAAAGUAAAAUGUUGACAAAGAUUGAAGGAAAGCACAAUGAUGUGAUGUACAGUCAGGAAAGUCUGACCUCUAAAAUGAGUAACCUUUUGGCUGAAAAAGAAAAGAGCCAGCAGCGAAUCAGAGAGCUGGAGGACAACAUCAAGGUCUUGACUGCCAGGGAGGUGGAGGAAAACACUGAACUUCAAAGACUGAAGGACAGAGUGAAGAAAGUCUCCGGUCAAAUGAAGCAUGAAGAAGAAAAGAGAAAAUGUGUGCAGGUAACUGACAGCCACCCGUCAAACGCCCUCUCUGUCCUUCACCGUCUUUCUAAAACUGCUCCUGUUGACUCCCGAAAGGUGGAGAAGGAUGCUGCUGUGGAGGAGGUGAGAGGGCUGCAGGAACGCCUGGAAGUGAGUGAGCACGCGGCCGAGAGCCUGCGCCGGGAGGUGAGGGAGCUCGGAACCCGCCUGAAUCACACGCACGCCGAGCUGCACCAAGCGUGGCUGCAGGUGGGCCAGCUCACCCUGCAGCUGUCUGAGGAGAACCUGCUCCUCAGGGAGGAGCGUGCCAACUGGACCCUGGAAAGAGAGGCUUCCAAACACACAGCAGAGAUUGAAAAAAAGAAGUUGCAAGAACUGAGCAGUGAGGUGCAGAGGCUAGAGGGGUGGCUCCAAGAGGAGAGGGCCGAGAGGGAGCGAGUCGAAGUGGAACACUGCAGAGAGAGAGAUUACAACAGAGUGCUGCUGAGUGAUGCAAAGCGAGAGCUGCAGGAGCUGAAGGCCCGUCUGAAGAGGAGCCGAGCAUCGAGCGAGGAGCAACUGGACCAGCAGGACGUAAUGACUGAUAUCAGUCAGUCCGAGCAGAGGUCAGAUGGAGACGUUUCCACCUCUAUGUCUCCUUCCUCUUCAUCUGAGGAUGAUGAACAUGCGUCUUCAGCUGCUCCCACAUCUGUCCGACUGCCUUCGGUGACUCAGCUGGAGCAGGACAACCUUCCUGAGACGCACAUUCAUAGCAAAGAAGAUGAAGUAGAAGACGUGCGACACUGUGAACCUCGAGCUUUUGAUGGGAAACAGAUGAUGCUGCAAGAAGUCGUGGACCCUGUCCUGAGUGAGCUGGCCGACUCUCCCAUGUGGUAACACAAAGAUGGAUGGUGUGUUAGUUUGCCGCUGCUGUGCAAGUUCACGCAGGUCAUCAGGAAACUCAGACGAGUGUUUACUGAAAUGACAAAGUGCAACUUCACUUUCACCUUCUAUUUGUGUAGCGGUGUUUCUGAUGAGUGCCUCAUUUUGCCUGAUAAAGUUAAAUUCAGGACAAGUUAUUUUGGUGACAUAUGAGCCCAUAGUUUUUGCAUGUGGGUGUGAAUCCCAAGACCAUGUUAAAUGUGUGGGGGUGUGUUACAGACCUGUGUGAAAUGUUCUGUUGCAGCUUUCUUGAGGAGCAAGUUAGGAAAGUUUAUUUUUGGUUCUUUUUUCCUUCACCUGAGCUUUUGUUGGCAGAGUGAGAAGCACUUAAUAUGAUAAAUGCUCUAUGUCGAUUGUAAGAUAACGUCAAAUCCACACCCUGCAGGGGGUUACUCAAUUUAAUGGCUUGUUCAAGUUUUAAAGGACAAAUACUUUUCUUUUAAUAAACUGUUGAGCAGGUACCUAAUUGGAUAAGGAGCUCUCCUGGCAGUAUGAAGACCUGGGUUCGAAUCACCCUCAUGCUGCUUGUCUGUGUCCUUGGACAAGACACUUAAUCCACAUUGUCUCAGUCCACCCAG